rnacentral:rRNA from 1 species
GCUUGUCUCAAAGAUUAAGCCAUGCAUGUCUAAGUAUAAGCAUUAUACAGUGAAACUGCGAAUGGCUCAUUAUAUCAGUUAUAGUUUAUUUGAUAGUCCCUGCUAUUUGGAUAACCGUAGUAAUUCUAGAGCUAAUACAUGCACCAAGCGCGCUUUUACGAGCGCGUGUAUUUAUUAGAUACAAUCAACCCUUCGGGUCUUUGGUGAAUCAUAAUAACUGAGCGAACCGCAUCGUAAGAGCGGUGGUUCAUUCAAGUUUCUGCCCUAUCAGCUUUCGAUGGUAGGGUAUUGGCCUACCAUGGCGUUAACGGGUAACGGAGAAUUAGGGUUCGAUUCCGGAGAGGGAGCCUGAGAAAUGGCUACCACAUCCAAGGAAGGCAGCAGG